GAUCGGAUCGGGGAUCACUUUUAAUUCCGAUCCAGAGCUCAGACAUGACCCAGUAUGGUUUCAACCCGUAAAAAACUAUGAAGAUCUAGUGAAACAGUCGGCCCGUGAUAAACUGACCAGAUCAUGGGUCGAAUAGCAUAGCCACUGGGUAUUAGGUAUAAGGGUAUUUCGCUCCGUAUAUAAUUUUCAUGUCCUCGACUUUCUAUUCGUCGUUGCUGCCC
rnacentral:lncRNA from 1 species